rnacentral:rRNA from 1 species
AACGAACGCUGGCGGCAGGCUUAACACAUGCAAGUCGAACGCAUCGCAAGAUGAGUGGCAGACGGGUGAGUAACGCGUGGGAACAUACCCUUUUCUACGGAAUAGCUCUGGGAAACUGGAAUUAAUACCGUAUACGCCCUACGGGGGAAAGAUUUAUCGGGGAAGGAUUGGCCCGCGUUGGAUUAGCUAGUUGGUGGGGUAAAGGCCUACCAAGGCGACGAUCCAUAGCUGGUCUGAGAGGAUGAUCAGCCACAUUGGGACUGAGACACGGCCCAAAAUCCUACGGGAGGCAGCAGUGGUGAAUAUUGGACAAUGGGCGCAAGCCUGAUCCAGCCAUGCCGCGUGAGUGAUGAAGGCCUUAGGGUUGUAAAGCUCUUUCACCGAUGAAGAUAAUGACGGUAGUCGGAGAAGAAGCCCCGGCUAACUUCGUGCCAGCCGCCGCUGUAACAC